rnacentral:lncRNA from 1 species
CUAUAUACAUAAUAAAAUUGAGAAUGGAAAUGGGGAAUGUGUCAAAGAGACAACAACCCGACCAAAUAAAAAACAACAGCAGAGGGUCACCAACAGGUCUUCAAUGUAGCGAGAAAUUCCCGCACCCGGAGGCGUCCUUCAGCUGGCCCCUAAACAAAUAUAUACUAGUCCAGUGAUAAUGAACGCCAUACUAAUUUCCAAAUUGUACACAAGAAACUAAAAUUAAAAUAAUACAAGACUAACAAAGGCCAGAGGCUCCUGACUUGGGACAGGCGCAAAAAUGCGGCGGGGUUAAACAUGUUUGUGAG